GCACAAGCGGUGGAGCAUGUGGUUUAAUUCGACGCAACGCGCAGAACCUUACCAGGGUUUGACAUCCUGAGACCGCCCCAUAAAGGGGGUUUUCCCGCAAGGGACUCAGAGACAGGUGCUGCAUGGCUGUCGUCAGCUCGUGUCGUGAGAUGUUGGGUUAAGUCCCGCAACGAGCGCAACCCUCGCCUUUAGUUGCCAUCAUUAAGUUGGGCACUCUAGAGGGACCGCCGGCGACAAGCCGGAGGAAGGUGGGGAUGACGUCAAGUCCUCAUGGCCCUUACACCCUGGGCUACACACGUGCUACAAUGGCGGUGACAGUGGGCAGCUACUUCGCGAGAAGCGGCUAAUCCCAAAAAACCGUCCCAGUUCAGAUUGUACUCUGCAACUCGAGUACAUGAAGGUGGAAUCGCUAGUAAUCGCAGAACAGCAGGCUGCGGUGAAUACGUUCCCGGGC
rnacentral:rRNA from 1 species